rnacentral:tRNA from 1 species
GCGUGCGUAGCUCAGGGGUAGAGCACAACCUUGCCAAGGUUGGGGUCGUGGGUUCGAAUCCCAUCGCCCGCUCCA